rnacentral:lncRNA from 12 species
CCAAUAAUGAUUCACAUAUACUCUCUCUUUUCUGUGUUUCUACACAUGAUUGCUUCCUGAAUAGGUGUCUCAUUGGGUCACUGAUUUCCAGAAGGAUGUCCACGGAUCUACAAUCACAGGCUGAAGUUUAUUUAAUGACAGAAAAUAGAUUUUCAGAGAUGGUUACAUAAGGUAAGUGAUAACAGGGAUUAGACAGAGAUAUGGCCUCCCCAGUCUUAAAAAAUUUCCUAUAGGGAAUGGCUAUUUUAUAGAGCACAGACAUGGUGGUAGAGGAAACUCAUGGGACUGCUCAACCACCCUCCUGUUCUGUGGAGCACUGCCAAUUAAAGCAAGGAAACAAAGAUGAUGAAACCCUAGUCAAGAUGCUUUGCUUGCCUGGAAGACUCCUGUAUUGGAAAACUGGGUUUGAAGAUAAAGCCCUUCCUGCUCUCAAGAACAUGGAGCUAGAUCUUUCAUCGUUAACAAAUUGCUCUGUAGGUGUAUUGGACCAUUGGUAGAACAAGAAAAUACCAG